UACGUAGGCAGCAGGCGUUGUUCGGAAUUACUGGGCGUAAAGAGUGUGUAGGCGGUGCUCUAAGUUCGGUGUGAAAUCUCCCGGCUCAACUGGGAGGGUGCGCCGGAAACUGGAGUGCUGGAGCGCGGGAGAGGAAAGCGGAAUUCCUGGUGUAGCGGUGAAAUGCGUAGAUAUCAGGAGGAACACCGGCGGUGUAGACGGCUUUCUGGACCGUAGCUGACGCUGAGACACGAAAGCGUGGGUAGCAAACAGG
rnacentral:rRNA from 1 species